GGGCGAUAUCUUUUUGCGCCAAAAAGUAACUCAUUUGCGCCACAACUUGAUUGCGCCAAUACUUCUUUUGCGCCACCUAAUUUUCAAAACUAUAGGUAUCAUUUGCGCCAAUUAAAAUAAUGAUCCAAUUUGCGCCAAUUUUAUUUAUUUUCAUUCAUAUGUAACAACUAAAUGAUUGACUUCCCUCCUCCUUUAUCCGGGUUUUGGAAAUCUACAUGACUUAAUAACGACUUCUGGAAAAAAGGUGUCUUACUGUUUUGUGCAUUCUAUUUUCAAAAUCUUAAGUGGAAAGGUUAAUUAUAGUACAUGUAUGAUAUAGGUAAAACAUGAACAGACAUGAUAUAGGUAAAAAAUAUUUACAGGUAAAUGUGGCGCAAUUUCAUUUCAUUUAUUGGCG
rnacentral:lncRNA from 1 species